rnacentral:rRNA from 1 species
CAGCAGCCGCGGGAAUACGUAGGUGGCAAGCGUUGUCCGGAAUUAUUGGGCGUAAAGGGCUCGCAGGCGGUUUCUUAAGUCUGAUGUGAAAGCCCCCGGCUCAACCGGGGAGGGUCAUUGGAAACUGGGAAACUUGAGUGCAGAAGAGGAGAGUGGAAUUCCACGUGUAGCGGUGAAAUGCGUAGAGAUGUGGAGGAACACCAGUGGCGAAGGCGACUCUCUGGUCCGUAACUGACGCUGAGGAGCGAAAGCGUGGGAGCGAACAGGAUUAGAUACCCGUGUAGUCCCUGUCUCUUAUACA